rnacentral:rRNA from 1 species
UACGUAGGGCGCAAGCGUUGUCCGGAAUUAUUGGGCGUAAAGAGCUCGUAGGCGGCUUGUCACGUCGGUUGUGAAAGCCCGGGGCUUAACCCCGGGUCUGCAGUCGAUACGGGGCUAGCUAGAGUGUGGUAGGGGAGAUCGGAAUUCCUGGUGUAGCGGUGAAAUGCGCAGAUAUCAGGAAGAACACCCGUGGCGAAGGCGGCUCUCUGGAACGCAACUGACGCUGAGACGCGAAAGCGUGGGGAGCAAACAGG